rnacentral:lncRNA from 1 species
AAGGAGUUGAAGUCUUUGGAGGCUGUUUUGCUAUAGGAUGAACCUUUCUUUUCAGUAAUAUAGUGGGUUAGAUUAGAGUUCCCAACAAUAACUCACGGUCCCGCCCAUGAAGCUCUUAUGGAAAACAGCUCCUUUAAAAAUGCUGCUCUCAACUGUGGGUCUGUUGGCCCAUAAACAUUGGUCAGCAGCCAAUGAUCAG